rnacentral:rRNA from 1 species
AUGGUUAAGUUAGAAAGGGCGCACGGUGGAUGCCUUGGCACUAGGAGCCGAUGAAGGACGGGACGAACACCGAUAUGCUUCGGGGAGCUGUAAGCAAGCUUUGAUCCGGAGAUUUCCGAAUGGGGAAACCCACUGCUCGUAAUGGAGUAGUAUCCAUACUUGAAUACAUAGAGUAUGAGAAGGCAUACCCGGGGAACUGAAACAUCUAAGUACCCGGAGGAAGAGAAAGCAAAUGCGAUUCCCUGAGUAGCGGCGAGCGAAACGGGAACAGCCCAAACCAAGAGGCUUGCCUCUUGGGGUUGUAGGACACUCUAUACGGAGUUACAAAGGAACGAUAUAAGCGAAGAGGUCUGGAAAGGCCCGCCAAAGAAGGUAACAGCCCUGUAACUGAAAUGUUGUUCUCUCCAGAGUGGAUCCUGAGUACGGCGGAACACGUGAAAUUCCGUCGGAAUCCGGGAGGACCAUCUCCCAAGGCUAAAUACUCCCUAGUGACCGAUAGUGAACCAGUA